rnacentral:rRNA from 1 species
AUUGAACGCUGGCGGCAGGCCUAACACAUGCAAGUCGAACGGUAACAGGAAGCAGCUUGCUGCUUCGCUGACGAGUGGCGGACGGGUGAGUAAUGUCUGGGAAACUGCCUGAUGGAGGGGGAUAAUUACUGGAAACGGUAGCUAAUACCGCAUAACGUCGCAAGACCAAAGAGGGGGACCUUAGGGCCUCUUGCCAUCGGAUGUUCCCAGAUGGGAUUAGCUAGUAGGUGGGGUAACGGCUCACCUAGGCGACGAUCCCUAGCUGGUCUGAGAGGAUGAACAGCCACACUGGAACUGAGACACGGUCCAGACUCCUACGGGAGGCAGCAGUAGGGAAUAUUGCUCAAUGGGCGCAAGCCUGAUGCAGCCAUGCCGCGUGUAUGAAGAAGGCCUUCGGGUUGUAAAAUACUUUCAGCGGGGAGGAAGGGAGUAAAGUUUAUCCAUUGGCUCAUUGACGUUACCCGCAGAAGAAGCACCGGCUAACUACGUG